AAUUUUGGACAUUGGGGGAAACCCUGAUCCAGCCAUCCCGCUUGUGCGAGGAAGGCCUUCGGGUCGUAAAGCACUUUUGGCAGGGAAGAAAAGGCUCUGGUUAAUACCCGGAGCUGCUGACGUUACCUCCAGAAUAAGCACCGGCGAACUACGUGCCAGCAGCCGCGGUAAUACGUAGGGUGCAAGCGUUAAUCGGAAUUACUGGGCGUAAAGCGUGCGCAGGCGGUUUGGCAAGAAGGAUGUGAAAUCCCAGGGCUUAACCUUGGAACUGCAUUCUUAACUGCCAGGCUAGAGUAUGUCAGAGGGGGGUAGAAUUCCGCGUGUAGCAGUGAAAUGCGUAGAGAUGCGGAGGAAUACCGAUGGCGAAGGCAGCCCCCUGGGAUAAUACUGACGCUCAUGCACGAAAGCGUGGGGAGCAAACAG
rnacentral:rRNA from 1 species